CCCCCUUCUUCGAGACGCUUCCGCCACGAGUCCACCGUCACCGACUUGAGGCCCGCCGUAAUUGCCACUCGCAAACACCGUAAGAGGAAGAACUCACUCGUCCACGCCGCAGCUGCAGUUGCCUCCGAGGACGACUCCUCCAGGAUGGUUUCCACCAGUUCUGCCAACGACUUGCUGACAUGUUUUGGUGAUCAAUGGAGGGUCAUUCAUUGGGGCGCCUGUUGGCUAAGAUGUGGAUUCAAAACAAUCGGACCUGUAGUAUUACUAUUUUAGUAUUUUAUGAAUUCAAAAUAUUGAAACUUAUAUUGUGAUGCUGGAUUCUGAGUCAUUUAUUCAACUUGGAACAUAAUGAUUCUGACAUUAAAAGGAUAAAACUAGGAGGAACAAUCAACGAAAAUGAUGCUUCAAAAACGGAAGUAGAAGUAAGUUUAGUGGCUGGCGACAAGUUAGCCCAACAAAGUAGCAAGUCCAUUGAACCACCCAAACAAGAUUAUAUCCAUGUGAGAGCAAGAAGAGGCUAAGCUACUGAUAGCCACAGUCUAGCCGAGAGAGUAAUUCACUUAUUUUAUCUGCUAUAAGUCAUGAGUUUUGUACAUCAUUGGAAGGUCUCUUGGGCUAUGAACAAAAUGAAAAUUUUUAGAUGUAUCUUUCUUCUUUAUACUGUUAUUCUUUGGAGCGUCUCACUUAAUUGCAUUGGCAGGCAAGAAGAGAAAAGAUCAAUGAGAGGAUGAAAAUUCUUCAGGAUUUGGUCCCAGGGUGUAACAAGGUAAUUGGUAAAGCUCUUGUCCUAGAUAAAAUCAUCAAUUAUAUUCAGUCACUACAGCGACAAGUUGAGGUGUUUAUCUUUAUCAUUAUGUCUAUGAUUUAAAAACAACAAUAUUUUGUUUUUUUUUCUUCAACUCCCAAAUCUAAUUGUAUUUUAAGUGAAAUUGACUUUUGUAGUUCCUGUCAAUGAAGCUUGAGGCAGUUAAUUCAAGAUUGAGCAUGAACCCUACAAUUGAUGGGUUCUCUUCAAAAGAUCACCCAUUAUAGAUGGGACAUCUGUGCUAAGUCAUCUUUCAUGGCAGGACAAUAACUUGAAUCUGUCGAUUGCUCCUUCAUCUGAAACUUUAAUUUGAUUUGAAUGUCAAUUACAACCUUAAUUUGGCGCAGCCCAGUUUCAUCAAUUACAGAUUUGAUUUGAACGACUUUUGGCGGGAUACAACCUUAGUUUCUCAUAUUUAGAAUUCAUUAAAAAUUGUCAUUGCAAUAUAUAUGAGCAAGAGGAGUAAUAAUCAUCAUUUUUAGCUACUAUUGUUGCAAACAUGACCACAUAAUAAGUUAAUAACAUAAUUGCAUACAAAGUUAAUGGCAACCAGAGAAGUUUGACCUCUCAUAAUAACAUCAUUAUGGUAGGAAGGAUUAUAGCUUUGAUAUUAGUGUGCUCAUAACGGUUGUUCUCCUUACACCGUUUGAACAUCACG